rnacentral:rRNA from 1 species
AAGUAGAACGCUGAAGCUUGGUGCUUGCACCGAGCGGAGGAGUUGCGAACGGGUGAGUAACGCGUAGGUAACCUGCCUCUUAGCGGGGGAUAACUAUUGGAAACGAUAGCUAAUACCGCAUAAAAGUCGACAUUGCAUGAUGUUGGCUUGAAAGGUGCAAAUGCAUCACUAAGAGAUGGACCUGCGUUGUAUUAGCUAGUUGGUGAGGUAACGGCUCACCAAGGCGACGAUACAUAGCCGACCUGAGAGGGUGAUCGGCCACACUGGGACUGAGACACGGCCCAGACUCCUACGGGAGGCAGCAGUAGGGAAUCUUCGGCAAUGGACGGAAGUCUGACCGAGCAACGCCGCGUGAGUGAAGAAGGUUUUCGGAUCGUAAAGCUCUGUUGUAAGAGAAGAACGAGUGUGAGAGUGGAAAGUUCACACUGUGACGGUAACUUACCAGAAAGGGACGGCUAACUACGUGC